rnacentral:ribozyme from 1 species
UGUUCAACAAAUCCUAUCCCUACCUCCUCGUAGUACUGGCUGGCGUACGAGCAACCUUAGGGAAGAUCGAGUAAUUCACCCCGGUGGGAACUUUGGUCGUAUGCUAACAGGGAG